AGAGUUUGAUUAUGGCUCAGAACGAACGCUGGCGGCAUGCCUAAUACAUGCAAGUCGAACGAAGUCUUCGGACUUAGUGGCGCACGGGUGAGUAACAUGUGGGAAUCUACCUAAAGGUUCGGAAUAACUGCGGGAAACUGUAGCUAAUACCGGAUGUGUCUGCAAAGAGAAAGAUUUAUCGCCUUUAGAUGAGCCCGCACUAGAUUAGCUUGUUGGUGAGGUAAUUGCUCCACCAAGGCUACGAUCUAUAGCUGAUUUGAGAGGAUGAUCAGCCACACUGGGACUGAGACACGGCCCAGACUCCUACGGGAGGCAGCAGUAGGGAAUAUUGGACAAUGGGGGAAACCCUGAUCCAGCAAUGCCGCGUGAGUGAAGAAGGCCUUCGGGUUGUAAAACUCUUUCAUCAAUGAUGAUAAUGACAUUAGUUGAAGAAGAAGCUCCGGCUAACUCCGUGCCAGCAGCCGCGGUAAUACGGAGGGGGCUAGCGUUGUUCGGAAUUACUGGGCGUAAAGCGUAUGUAGGCGGAUCAAAAAGUUAGAUGUGAAAUCCCUGGGCUUAACCCAGGAACUGCAUUUAAAACUAGUGAUCUAGAAUUUGGUAGGGGUUAGUAGAAUUUCCAGUGUAGAGGUGAAAUUCGUAGAUAUUGGAAAGAAUACCAGUGGCGAAGGCGACUAACUGGGCCAUUUUUGACGCUGAGAUACGAAAGCGUGGGUAGCAAACAGGAUUAGAUACCCUGGUAGUCCACGCAGUAAACGAUGAGUGCUAGUCGCUGGGACAAUAGUUUCAGUGUCGAAGCUAACGCAUUAAGCACUCCGCCUGGGAAGUACGGUCGCAAGAUUAAAACUCAAAUAAAUUGACGGGGGCCCGCACAAGCGGUGGAGCAUGUGGUUUAAUUCGAAGCAACGCGAAGAACCUUACCAGACCUUGACAUGGUGUGUUUGAAUUACAGAAUCGUAAUUCUUCAGUUCGGCUGGCACACACACAGGUGCUGCAUGGCUGUCGUCAGCUCGUGUCGUGAGAUGUUGGGUUAAGUCCCGCAACGAGCGCAACCCUCAUUUUUAGUUGCCAUCAGGUUAUGCUGGGCACUCUAAAAAAACUGCCGGUGAUAAGCUGGAGGAAGGCGGGGAUGACGUCAAGUCCUCAUGGCCCUUACGGUCUGGGCUACACACGUGCUACAAUGGUGGUGACAGUGGGCAGCAAUACUGCAAAGUAAAGCUAAUCCCAAAAAACCAUCUCAGUUCGGAUUGGACUCUGCAACUCGAGUCCAUGAAGUUGGAAUCGCUAGUAAUCGUAGAUCAGCGUGCUACGGUGAAUACGUUCUCGGGCCUUGUACACACCGCCCGUCACGCCAUGGGAGUUGGUUUUACCUUAAGCCGGUGCGCUAACCGCAAGGAAGCAGCCGUCCACGGUAGGGUCAGCGACUGGGGCGAAGUCGUAACAAGGUAGCCGUAGGGGAACCUGCGGCUG
rnacentral:rRNA from 1 species